CCCUCGGUAGCUCAGUUGGAAGAGCGUGGGACUGUAAUUGCUUACAUAACAUCCCGAGGCCAUUGGUUCGAUCCCGAUCUGAGGGA
rnacentral:tRNA from 1 species